rnacentral:rRNA from 1 species
GACGAACGCUGGCGGCGUGCUUAACACAUGCAAGUCGAACGCUGAAGCUCAGCUUGCUGGGUGGAUGAGUGGCGAACGGGUGAGUAACACGUGAGUAACCUGCCCCCUUCUUUGGGAUAACGCCCGGAAACGGGUGCUAAUACUGGAUAUUCACUGAUCUUCGCAUGGGGGUUGGUGGAAAGGUUUUUUCUGGUGGGGGAUGGGGUCGGGGCCUGUCAGCUUGUUGGUGGGGUGAUGGCCUACCAAGGCUUUGACGGGUAGCCGGCCUGAGAGGGUGACCGGGCACAUUGGGACUGAGAUACGGCCCAGACUCCUACGGGAGGCAGCAGUGGGGAAUAUUGCACAAUGGGCGAAAGCCUGAUGCAGCGACGCCGCGUGAGGGAUGGAGGCCUUCGGGUUGUAAACCUCUUUCGCUAAUGGUCAAGCCGCAACAUUGGUUGUGGUGAGGGUAGUGGGUAAAGAAGCGCCGGCUAACUACGUG